rnacentral:lncRNA from 1 species
ACUUUAUCUCCUUAGGCUGGGGCAGGGGGAGAUACAUGCAGCUGAAAAUACAAGACCUGGCAGCAAAGGAAAGGAAUGGGGACAAAGGCCCCCAAAGUGAGUUCUCACGAGAUUGGAUGGUUUUAUAAGGGACAUUCCCCGCCCCCCCCAACUUCACUCUGCACUUCUCCUUGCUGCCGCCACGUGGAGGACGUGUUUGCUUCACCUUCUGCCAUGAUUGUAAGUU